rnacentral:rRNA from 1 species
UUUCCUACGGGAGGCAGCAGUGGGGGAUAUUGCACAAUGGGGGAAACCCUGAUACAGCGACGCCGCGUGUGGGAAGACGGUCUUCUGGAUUGUAAACCACUGUCCCCAGGGACGAAAAUGACGGUACCUGGGGAGGAAGCUCCGGCUAACUACGUGCCAGCAGCCGCGGUAAUACGUAGGGGGCAAGCGUUAUCCGGAUUUACUGGGUGUAAAGGGAGCGUAGACGGCAUGGCAAGUCAGAUGUGAAAGCCCGGGGCUCAACCCCGGGACUGCAUUUGA